UUCUGGCAACUGGACGUGCAAAAAUCAAGGAAGGCACGCUAAUUAUAACUGCAGUCGAUCGGUCUGACAGUGGAGCCUUCUUCUGCACUGCCACCAACUCGGAAGGCAGUGAAACUUUGGAAGUAUAAAUUGCCGUUACAUCACCGCUCACUGCCAGCAUCCAACCCACCGUGCAAACAGUGAAUCUGGACAAAACCGCAAACUUGAUUUGCAGCAUUUCGGGCUUCCCAAAACAGAGUGUUCUUUGGCUCUGGAUGAUCAGCCACUGCGUUCUGGCGCACGCGUCCGUCUACUCUCCACAGAGCACAUACGCAUUACGUCCAUUACGAAGGAGGACAAGGGAAUGUAUCAGUGCAUUGUGAAAAAUUAUUUGGAGUCGGUCUAAGCCACAGCGGAAUUGCUACUAGGAGAGGUGGCACCGCAACUAAUCUACAAAUUCAUCGAACAGACCAUUCAACCCGGACCGUCAGUUUCACUGAAGUGUAGUGCCAGUGGCAAUCCAACACCGAAAAUUGUCUGACACUUGGAUGGAUUUCCGCUACCAAAUUUAUGGAAUGAAAACUAUUUUUCACGACUAUUUACGUCGGUAAAAUGUGAACAGUUAUAUUCGCUAUGGUUUUAUCCACAGGCCGCUAACCGACUCAGGGAACGUGGUGUACGGAUGAAUUUUGAAGAC